GAGGGUAUAGCUUGGUGAUAGAGUACAUGCUUAGCAUGCACAAGGUCUUGGGUUCAAUCCCCAGUACCUCCA
rnacentral:tRNA from 1 species